rnacentral:tRNA from 1 species
GAGGGUAUAGGCUCAGUGGUAGAGUGUGUGCCUAGCAAGCACAAGGUCCUGGGUUCAAUCCCCAGCACCUCCA